AUUGAACGCUGGCGGCAGGCCUAACACAUGCAAGUCGAGCGGAUGAAGGGAGCUUGCUCCUGGAUUCAGCGGCGGACGGGUGAGUAAUGCCUAGGAAGCUGCCUGGUAGUGGGGGAUAACGUCCGGAAACGGGCGCUAAUACCGCAUACGUCCUGAGGGAGAAAGUGGGGGAUCUUCGGACCUCACGCUAUCAGAUGAGCCUAGGUCGGAUUAGCUAGUUGGUGGGGUAAAGGCCUACCAAGGCGACGAUCCGUAACUGGUCUGAGAGGAUGAUCAGUCACACUGGAACUGAGACACGGUCCAGACUCCUACGGGAGGCAGCAGUGGGGAAUAUUGGACAAUGGGCGAAAGCCUGAUCCAGCCAUGCCGCGUGUGUGAAGAAGGUCUUCGGAUUGUAAAGCACUUUAAGUUGGGAGGAAGGGCAGUAAGUUAAUACCUUGCUGUUUUGACGUUACCAACAGAAUAAGCACCGGCUAACUUCGUG
rnacentral:rRNA from 1 species